CCUACGGGUGGCAGCAGUGGGGAAUAUUGCACAAUGGGGGAAACCCUGAUGCAGCGACGCCGCGUGAGUGAAGAAGAAAUUCGUUAUGUAAAGCUCUAUCAGCAGGGAAGAAAAUGACGGUACCUGAGUAAGAAGCACCGGCUAACUACGUGCCAGCAGCCGCGGGAAUACGUAGGGGGCAAGCGUUAUCCGGAUUUACUGGGUGUAAAGGGGGCGUAGACGGCAGUGCAAGUCUGGAGUGAAAGGCGGGGGCUCAACCCCCGGACUGCUCUGGAAACUGUACGGCUGGAGUGCGGGAGAGGUAAGUGGAAUUCCUAGUGUAGCGGUGAAAUGCGUAGAUAUUAGGAAGAACACCAGUGGCGAAGGCGGCUUACUGGACUGUAACUGACGUUGAGGCACGAAAGCGUGGGGAGCAAACAGGAUUAGAUACCUGAGUAGUC
rnacentral:rRNA from 1 species